GGCGGGUCGGGGCGGGGGCCGGGCUGAGGAUCGGGGAGAGAGACUCGCGGCUGGGGCGAGAAGCGCGGGGUGCCGCAGCACACCACAGCCAGUGGCCAGAGGGAUACUCGCGGUCUCCGUUCGCCCUCGGGCCGAGCUUAUAAAGAGCCCCGGGGGGCGGGGAGAAGGCGGGGCAUAGGCGGGGCAGGGGCGGGGCUUUCCUCCACUUCUCUCCAGGCACCCUCCGCCGGGCAGGUGUCCCCUUCCUCUGCCCCGCCCCCGCGGCCAGAUCCGCUUUCGAAGAAGCCGGAACAAAGUCCCAAAGUUGCUGCUCAAGGAGAAGCCGCCUUGCCGCGGGCCGCGCGGAGAGGGGGUGGGUCGGUCUAGCUUCGUGCCCUGCAUAAGCUCGCCCAGCGUCCCCACACCCCACGCUCCCAGGGCAGCCGAGCCGCCGCUCCCAGCCACACACUGUAAGAACAAUGGACCAACUGGGGUAGGUUGCCCACAGUGGAAGCAGAAAGACCAGUCAGGAGGCUGCUGUGCUUGCUGAGGCGAGAGAUGCUGGUGGCCAUGGGGACAAUCCAAGUGGAUGGGCUGACUCAUGCAGAGCCUGCUGGAAGGGGUACUCCAACCCAGACAAAGUGGACCAGAGAGUCAAGAGCUGUGACUGACCACAUCCCACCCAGGCUAAUUUCAUAAUUAAAAUUUAAUUCCACUA